rnacentral:rRNA from 1 species
GAUGAACGCUGGCGGCGUGCCUAAUACAUGCAAGUCGAGCGAACGGACGAGAAGCUUGCUUCUCUGAUGUUAGCGGCGGACGGGUGAGUAACACGUGGAUAACCUACCUAUAAGACUGGGAUAACUUCGGGAAACCGGAGCUAAUACCGGAUAAUAUUUUGAACCGCAUGGUUCAAAAGUAAAAGACGGUCUUGCUGUCACUUAUAGAUGGAUCCGCGCUGCAUUAGCUAGUUGGUAAGGUAACGGCUUACCAAGGCAACGAUGCAUAGCCGACCUGAGAGGGUGAUCGGCCACACUGGAACUGAGACACGGUCCAGACUCCUACGGGAGGCAGCAGUAGGGAAUCUUCCGCAAUGGGCGAAAGCCUGACGGAGCAACGCCGCGUGAGUGAUGAAGGUCUUCGGAUCGUAAAGCUCUGUUAUUGGGGAAGAACAUAUGUGUAAGUAACUGUGCACAUCUUGACGGUACCUAAUCAGAAAGCCACGGCUAACUACGUG